ensembl:processed_transcript
GGGACGUAUCAAGCGAUUCAGGUCUCAGAUCAGCAUUUGGAGGGUAAAGGUGAAGCCGGAGGGCUGGUUAAUGUGGUUUCCACAGCCAGACUCACUGGAUCCCAGCAGACUGUAAUUGAAAACUCUUUCAGUAAUACAGGCAGUCCUGCUGGAGACGAGAGCAGGGAAGAGGCACGAUGUGGAUAUUUCCCAGCAUCCUCUGUGAGCGAGGGAUCGGCCAGCAUCGUGUCCUUGCAGACAGCAGCAGAUCACACAUUCCCACAAACAGCAGGCCAGUUUUAUGUGAUGAUGACUCCAUCAGAUGUUCUCCAUUCAGCCUCUCAGCGGACUUUAGCUCCACGCACACACACAUACACAGUGAAAACAGACAGUCCACGCACCCCUAGAGACGAGAGAAGACGAGCACAGCACAAUGAAGUGGAAAGGCGACGGCGAGACAAAAUCAACAACUGGAUUGAGACGCUCUCAAAAAUCAUUCCCGACUGCAGCUUCGAUGG